rnacentral:rRNA from 1 species
CCUACGGGCGGCAGCAGUGGGGAAUAUUGGACAAUGGGGGCAACCCUGAUCCAGCCAUGCCGCGUGUGUGAAGAAGGCCCUCGGGUUGUAAAGCACUUUCAGUGAGGAAGAACGCCUGGUGGUUAAUACCCAUCAGGAAAGACAUCACUCACAGAAGAAGCACCGGCUAACUCCGUGCCAGCAGCCGCGGUAAUACGGAGGGUGCGAGCGUUAAUCGGAAUUACUGGGCGUAAAGCGCGCGUAGGUGGCUUGAUAAGCCGGUUGUGAAAGCCCCGGGCUCAACCUGGGAACGGCAUCCGGAACUGUCAAGCUAGAGUGCAGGAGAGGAAGGUAGAAUUCCCGGUGUAGCGGUGAAAUGCGUAGAGAUCGGUAGGAAUACCAGUGGCGAAGGCGGCCUUCUGGACUGACACUGACACUGAGGUGCGAAAGCGUGGGUAGCAAACAGGAUUAGAUACCCGUGUAGUC